rnacentral:tRNA from 3 species
GCCUUGGUAGCUCAGUGGUAGAGCGCAUCCUUGGUAAGGAUGAGGUCGGCAGUUCAAUCCUGCUCCAAGGCUCCA